AGUGAACGCUGGCGGUAGGCCUAACACAUGCAAGUCGAACGGCAGCACAGUAAGAUCUUGCUCUUACGGGUGGCGAGUGGCGGACGGGUGAGGAAUACAUCGGAAUCUACUUUUUCGUGGGGGAUAACGUAGGGAAACUUACGCUAAUACCGCAUACGACCUACGGGUGAAAGCAGGGGAUCUUCGUACCUUGCGCGAUUGAAUGAGCCGAUGUCGGAUUAGCUAGUUGGCGGGGUAAAGGCCCACCAAGGCGACGAUCCGUAGCUGGUCUGAGAGGAUGAUCAGCCGCACUGGAACUGAGCCACGGUCCAGACUCCUCCGGGAGGCACCAGUGGGGAAUAUUGGACAAUGGGCGCAAGCCUGAUCCAGCCAUACCGCGUGGGUGAAGAAGGCCUUCGGGUUGUAAAGCCCUUUUGUUGGGAAAGAAAAGCAGCAGGUUAAUAACCCGCUGUUCUGACGGUACCCAAAGAAUAAGCACCGGCUAACUUCGUG
rnacentral:rRNA from 1 species